CAGCUUGUUGACAGUGUUCUUUCUUCCUCUGUCUCUCUCUCUCUCUAUCCCUUUUUCUCUAGGGCACAAAAGGAGAUCAAGGACCUACAGGAGAGAAUGGGAGAGCAGGAGAUCCGGGCCCACCAGGAUUGCCAGGACCUCAGGGUCUGCGUGGACUUCCAGGCAACGUGGGAAUUCCUGGUAGCCUCGGGCCACCUGGUAUCUCUGGACCAAGAGGAGAGAAGGGAGAGAGCGGGAAAGAAGGACCAGCUGGUCCCAGUGGUCUUCCUGGACCACCAGGCUUGUCAGGAGAGAGUGGGCCACCGGGAAAAGGCAAGGAUGGACAGAGGGUAAGGACCUGAUCUUUAGCUAUGGUGCUGCUCUGGUUCUGUCUGGGAGCUGUUCUGCUGA
rnacentral:lncRNA from 1 species